rnacentral:rRNA from 1 species
UACAGAGGUCUCAAGCGUUGUUCGGAUUCAUUGGGCGUAAAGGGCGCGUAGGCGGCCUCCGCAAGUCGACUGUGAAAUCUCCGGGCUUAACCCGGAAAGGUCAGCCGAAACUGCGGGGCUAGAGUGCAGAAGGGGCAACUGGAAUUCUCGGUGUAGCGGUGAAAUGCGUAGAUAUCGAGAGGAACACCUGCGGCGAAGGCGGGUUGCUGGGCUGACACUGACGCUGAAGCGCGAAAGCUAGGGGAGCGAACGGG